GAGUCCAGUGAUUCUGAAAUCACCAGAAACCGGUGAGUCAAAAGGAUUGUAUAAUUGACUCGAAGUGGAAUCUGCACGUUUUCUUUUGAUUCAAAUUCCUUUCAUAAAAAGAUGGUGCUUAAUCACACUCAACUUGUCAACGUAUGCACUUCCCAUGGUGUUCCCCUUUAUGUUGUUUUCAUUUGCUCACAAACGGCAGAAAUUGAAUGGCCCUUCACGAUUGUUCAACAAAAUAUCUUUUCAACAAUCAACUAUGAAGUGCAUGUUAAAAGAGCACCUCGUCAGUACUCUCUGAGAACUUUCAGAGCCAAGAAACAACGGCUGGAUAAUUGCCUUGGUGCAUCUUCAUUUGCGUAACUCGGAAGAUAAAGGAGACUUAUUCCAUGGUCCCACAGUCCUCCUCCAUUUCAAGUCUGCAUCCUGGAGGAGAUGUCUUCUGAGAAAGCCAAUGUUGGUGGUGAUCUCAAUGCUUCCACCAGCAACAAACAAGCUAUUCUUCCAAACAAAACGCCUAGCACAAGCAACUCUAAUUUUGAGAAAGUACUUGCACAGAGAGCACUUUUUGGAUCGAGGAAUUAUCGCACCAAGGGAAGAAAAAUCAAGAACAAUGGUGCUAACAUGUUGCCGAGCAGGCUAAGCAAGGUUUCUUUGGCUGAUGAUUCGUCCGACUAAGGUAUAUAUAUGUACUGUACUGUUUAGAUUGUAGAAAUAUCUACUGUAGGGAUGCAGAAGCACUAGAUUGUACGGUGAUGUGUAGAAAAGAAAAACACAACGUAUAAUAUCAUAAGAUCUCAAACAUGUGUAAA